AGAGGUGGGAGUAAUCUAAUCUAACGGCGGAGAGAUUCGCGUCAAUUUAGAGCCAGGGGGCCUAACCCUGAAAAGGCCCUCUUAUAAAACCCUUGCUAUAGCCGUCUCCCCCAAAUCACUGCGUUUCCCUCCUCUCCUUUUCUCUCUGAUUUCCUCAAACGCUAGAUUUCGUUUGUUCGAGUUUCGUUACCGAUGGGUUUGCCGAAUCAACAGACUGUUGAUUAUCCUAGCUUCAAUCUCGUCAUCGUCGGUGAUGGAGGCACUGACAGAGGAGAUGUAUCAACAUUAUGUUGAUACUCUGGUAGACCAUAUACUGACUUGUGAUGAUAUACUUCAACAAAUUUUAAAGCUUGCAAGUGUUUCUGUGCAGGUGGAUGAGAUCAUGAGACAUUGAACCUAUUUAAUGAACUACAACUGCAACACCAAGCUGUAGAAACAAAAACUAAAACUCUUCAUGAUGCAUGUGAUCGAUUGGUAAUGGAGAAGCAAAGGUUGAUUGAGUUUACUGAAGCACUUCGCAGUAAGCUCAAGUAUUUUGAUGAGUUGGAGAAUGUAAGGUACAUUCCUGAUGAAAAAAAUCAACUAAAGUUGCAGAUCGAUACAAUGUUUUUUUAUUGAAAGAGAAAGAACAUAGACUAAAUUCUAG